rnacentral:rRNA from 1 species
GACGAACGCUGGCGGCGUGCUUAACACAUGCAAGUCGAACGGAAAGGCCCUGCUUUUGUGGUGUGCUCGAGCGGCGAACGGGUGAGUAACACGUGAGUAACCUGCCCUUGACUUUGGGAUAACUUCAGGAAACUGGGGCUAAUACCGGAUAUGAGCUCCUGCUGCAUGGUGGGGGUUGGAAAGUUUCGGCGGUUGGGGAUGGACUCGCGGCUUAUCAGCUUGUUGGUGGGGUAGUGGCUUACCAAGGCUUUGACGGGUAGCCGGCCUGAGAGGGUGACCGGCGACAUUGGGACUGAGAGACGGCCCAGACUCCUACGGGAGGCAGCAGUGGGGAAUAUGGCACAAUGGGCGGAAGCCUGAUGCAGCAACGCCGCGUGCGGGAUGACGGCCUUCGGGUUGUAAACAGCUGUCGCCUGUGAUGAAGCGUGAGUGACGGUAAUGGGUAAAGAAGCACCGGCUAACUACGUG